rnacentral:rRNA from 1 species
ACGGGAGGCAGCAGUGGGGAAUAUUGCACAAUGGGCGCAAGCCUGAUGCAGCAACGCCGCGUGAGGGAAGACGGUUUUCGGAUUGUAAACCUCUGUUCUUAGUGACGAAGAAGUGACUGUAGCUAAGGAGCAAGCCACGGCUAACUACGUGCCAGCAGCCGCGGUAAUACGUAGGUGGCAAGCGUUAUCCGGAAUUACUGGGUGUAAAGGGAGCGCAGGCGGGAUAGCAAGUCAGCGGUGAAAUGUCUGGGCUUAACCCCUGAACUGCCGUUGAAACUGUUAUUCUUGAGUGGAGUAGAGGCAGGCGGAAUUCCGAGUGUAGCGGUGAAAUGCGUAGAUAUUCGGAGGAACACCAGUGGCGAAGGCGGCCUGCUGGGCUCUAACUGACGCUGAGGCUCGAAAGUGUGGGGAGCAAACAGGAUUAGAUACCCUGGUA